GAAACAAGACACGUACGUUUGUCACUUACCAUAGAAAAGAAACUCUUGUGGGCGACGUGUAAACUAAAUUUCCACCCACUUCAUCUUUGCUUUAUUCCUCACACAAACAAACCCCAUUUUCAAAUCUUCUCUCUUCUACACAAUAACAUCAACAAGGAUUGCAGCACACACAAACAAAUACUCUCUCUCUCUCUCUGCAUGAGAAGAUAACAAACAAAACACCUCAUUCUUCAUGGCUCACCAAUCCUCUUCUUCUGAAUCUGAUGACCAUAUUCCUUCUCAUCAUCACCCAUUGGACCUAAACAGUCCCCAUCCUUCUAAAGAUAUCAUCUUCGACGACAACAUGGAGCUACAACAGCACCAACAAGAAGAAGAGAGCAACAUUAACAACCAUGAAUAUGAUGGAGAUAAUAAUAGAGAUAAAGAUGAUAAGGAUGAUGUUACUACUACACAAAACCCAUCUGCAGCUUCAGAAACCAACGAGGAGAAAAUUGCAUUACAAGAAGAGGCUUCAGAUGAUGUUGUUGUUGAAGCAGAAGAAAAAGAAGAGGAUAGUGGACGAGAGAGGCUGAAUCGGCAUAGAGUUGAAGUGGCAGGGAGGGUAUGGAUUCCAGAGAUAUGGGGUCAGGAGGAGCUAUUGAAGGAUUGGAUAGAUUGCAGUGCAUUUGAUGCUCCUUUAGUUCCAAGCAGAAUCUCCACUGCACGAAAGGCUUUGGUUGAAGAGUGUACAAGAGCCAAUGCUGCUGGACUAAUAAUAGAGAACAGUGUUUUUUCAGGGAAAAGACAGUUUCGUAUAGUUCGGAUUAAAAGAUGCAUCGUAUUUUGUGUAUAUAUUGGCCUUUACAAAUGGCUUGCCGGGGGUAUACUAGUGAAAAUGCGAUAUCUACUGCUAGCAAAAUUUAGAGAAAGAAAAAGGAAAGAGUCAUUAUCAUUCACUGAUUCUAAAUAUCUUGUAGAGAACUAGCUUUGCGACCCAUCAGGAAAUUUUGGGCACGGGGGUGCCCAAUUAGAUUACCUAUUCUAAUCCAUUCUGACAACAAGUUGCCACACAGUGAUUAGUGAGUAAUAUCCUUCUUUUUCAUUCUCUAUCACUACAACUCACUGAAGCAAAGCAUACUUACGAUACUAGUUCACCUUAGGAUAAGUAAUUUAUGAGCCAUUCUUGAGCAAAAAUGUAAAGUUUAGUUGUGACAGUAAUUACAAUUUACAGUCACACUACUGACUCCCCUAAAAAAAUAUAAUAUUCAAUGUCUGUUGUAAAAUUUUAGUAAAUAUAACUAAGAAAAGAAAAAUAGCUAUGAGGAUGCCUGCACAUCUAGCACUUCUAUUAGGCUCCUCCAGUAUAAAAUAUCUGCUACUCAUACAGCAAAUGUGGAAAACUAGUAUGAUGUCAACUCCCACACCUUGAUUGUCCCAUCAUCGCUUGCAGAGGCUAGUACCGGCUUCUCCUGUUUAGUAAAUAACACUGUUACAAAUUGCAGAGACAGACGCAGGAAGCAAAAAACAAUGCUGAUAUAGGUCACCAUUCUCCAAAUAUGGACUUGGAUUUCAAUGUACAUAUGGAUUUAUCCCUUAAUAACAACUGCACAAAUGUAGAGGUCCAAAACACCUGCACAUUUUCAGACACCGAGAAGAGCACCAAAACAAAAGGAUCUGAUGCAAGUCCAAAAACACACGAAGAAAAUGUGCAGGUGAUCCAGCUCGUCAGUAAACUUGAACAGUAAUGCAAAUAUGCAAGAAUAUUAUGCUCAUCUCUUCAAAAUAAAACAGAGUUCAAUAAAAACUCGAAGCAAAUGAAUAAAGUUGCAAAUACAGUUCAUAUUACUGUUUGACUAAGUGUUCUCUGCAUUUCAGUUGUAAAUAAAGAAAUAUCUGGCAUUGGUUUGUCAAGUCUUUUGCUACUCUUGUCCUUGUUAUCAAGUACAAAGAGAUCAAGAAAUUCCAGCUUAUUGAUAUUCACAAAUAGCCAAUAGAAUUAUUGAAUCACAAAGUGUCAGUGAUUUAAAGUGAUUGAUUUUACACCGGAAAAGGAAACUAGUAGUGGGCACACAAAGAAUCUGAUGCUUCUCCUUUC